rnacentral:rRNA from 1 species
AUGGCGGGCAUCAACUCAGCAAGUCCACCACCUCCGUUCCAACCACCCCCUAGUGCAUUCUGCGAUAGUAGUGGAACGCUACAACCCUUUGUGUAUAACCUCACCAUCUUCUAUGCUGAGGCCAAUCUUCGGGGGAACGAGGCGCCCCUGGUGGCCACAUCCGUGGUCAUGUUCGUCCUCGCCGUGCUCUUCUUCAUCCUCAACCUUUUCAGCCGUUCCUCGGAUGCGAGCGCCAUCCUUAACCCUACUGUCCGCCUCUUCCUCUCCACCUCGCUCUCUCUCUUCCUCCCCGCCAUGUCAUACCUCUAUUCGGAGGCCAAGAACGCCGUCGGCCAGACGGCGGACCUCUCGGUUCGAGCCCGGACGAUCCUCAUGUGGAUGUUCCUUGUGGAGCUCCUCCGCAAGAAGGUGGAGGCGAUCCUGGUCACCGCAGGCAUGCAGGGCUAUUCGGACACAAUCAACAGCGCCAGCCGGGUCGUCUGGCUAGGUAGCCUCGUCUUCUUCAACCUAAGAAGCGCCGGCAAGAAGGCAUUGUAUGGAUCCCUGUGGGUCCUUGCAGCUGCCAAGUUGGUGCAGAGGUUCGUCACCGUAGAGCUGGGAAAGCGUUCUUUCGCCUAUGGCAAGAAUCCCCAGCUUAUCGCCUCUUACAUGACCCAGAUGCUGAAGCUACAAGGUGAGGCAGCUGGGUCGGAUGUUUUGAAGGGGUGCAACUAUGCCGUGAUUGGCGAAGAGGAGCUGAAAAAGAAGGCCGGCCCGAAGGGUUACAAGCUCGACGAGCUGGAGAAGGCAAUAUCAGAAGCGGACUCCAGCGUCGUCACGGUUGGCAAAAUCUGGGCCCUCGCCGAGAAAGACACGCUGCUGCAUAGGGACCCGAAGCUGAAGCGGCUCUGCCUGUCCUUCGCCCUCCACAAACUGCUCCGCCGGAGGCUGGAGGAGUUCCCCAUAACCGACGCGGAAGCCUCCAACUGCCGCGACCUCGUCUUCAAAGGUCUUUGGCGAGAGGGCAUGGGUGGGGAGGAUGCCAUCCAAGUGUUCAGCGACGAGCUCCAGUUCCUCUGCGAGUACUACCACUCCGUUCUUCCGGUGGUCUUUGCCAGCCCCUUCUUCUUCGUGCACAACUACAUCCUGUUCCCCAUCAUUGUAUGGGCAUUCUGCAUCCUCAUGCUCAUCUUGUGUAGCAACGGGGACGUGCCCUACGCCUUGCACAGCUUCAGGACCGACAACUCCGUCAUGUCCGGCGGCGUCCUGAGGAUCGCCAGGUGCGUCCUGGGGAAGGUUUGGGACCUGUCGACUCCUUUCGUGUUCUGCAGUAUCGACAUAUCCAUCACCAUCCUGCUCAUCCUCGCCUUUGCCUACGAGGAGGUCUGGGAGUUCAUCGUGUUCCUGAUCUCCAACUGGUUCAUGGUGUCCCUGCUCUGCAGCCACACCUCCACGCCGGAGUGGCGCACGCACCCGCUUCUGAGAAGGAUCAUCCCGUCCAUCGUCUCGGUGAGGAACACCAUGAACCAACCUCAGGUCUGCUUCAAGCAGUUUUCUGUGCUAUGGUUCAGCCGGCUGUCGUUGCCGCUGCCCACCAGGGAGGUUCCCGAGGAAGCCAAGACGUUAAUCAUGGAGCGUCUGGCUAGGGUCAGCCGCGACGCUCCUCUCAGCAACGGCAUGUCUGUUCUGCGAUCAGCCGAGCACCGUCUGUCGAUACAGUCACAUGAGCUGUCGUGGGCGUGCAAGAGCGACAGCAUCGCUGAGGUGAUUCUCACGUGGCACAUCGCCACGGCGCUGCUGGACGCGACCUACCGGCGGCAGAGGGGCACGCGGCCUGAGGACGGACGCGAGGCGGCCACGGCGUUGUCCGGAUACUGCGCCUACUUGGUCGCCUUCCAUCCGAAGCUCCUCCCGGACGACAAGGACGGGACGGAGCUGGUGCACGCGGACAUGAAAAAGCAGCUGAGAGAGGAGAUGGGAGGCUGGUGGGGUUACUACUGCUCCGGCGAGAGCGACCGGUACACCAAGCUGAUGGAGGUCGCACGGACCAAGCAGGAGGAGUCCACAGUGAUUAGCAAGGGAGCAAGGCUCGGGAAGGUUCUGAUCGACAGGUACAAAGAUGACGCACGCGAGAGAGUGUGGAAGCUGCUGGGCGACCUCUGGACGGAGGUGGUGUUGCACGUGGCGCCGACGAGCAGCGAGCUGCACAUGAAGGCCCACAAGGAGGCGCUGGCGGAGGGCGGCGAGUUCAUCACCGUGCUCUGGGCGAUUGUCACCCACACCGGCAUAGCCCGCCCACCAGAGCCGGCAGAGGUAGCGCUUCGCUCCAUUUCCAUUGCGGGUUAA